UACGUAGGGUGCAAGCGUUAUCCGGAAUUAUUGGGCGUAAAGAGUGUGUAGGCGGUGCUCUAAGUCUGUCGUGAAAUCUCCCGGCUUAACCGGGAGGCUGCGGCGGAAACUGGUGUGCUAGAGGGUGGGAGAGGUAAGCGGAAUUCCUGGUGCAGCGGUGAAAUGCGUAGAUAUCAGGAGGAACACCUGCGGUGUAGACAGCUUACUGGACCACUUCUGACGCUGAGACACGAAAGCGUGGGUAGCAAACAGG
rnacentral:rRNA from 1 species